rnacentral:rRNA from 1 species
GACGAACGCUGGCGGCGUGCUUAACACAUGCAAGUCGAACGGAAAGGCCCUGCUUUUGUGGGGUGCUCGAGUGGCGAACGGGUGAGUAACAAGUGAGUAACCUGCCCUUGGCUGUGGGAUAACUUCAGGAAACUGCGGCUAAUACCGGAUAGGAGCUCCUGCUGCAUGAUGGGGGUUGGAAAGUUUCGGCGGUUGGGGAUGGACUCGCGGCUUAUCAGCUUGUGGGUGGGGUAGUGGCUGACCAAGGCUUUGACGGGUAGCCGGCCUGAGAGGGUGACCGGCCACAUUGGGACUGAGAUACGGCCCAGACUCCUACGGGAGGCAGCAGUGGGGAAUAUUGCACAAUGGGCGGAAGCCUGAUGCAGCAACGCCGCGUGCGGGAUGACGGCCUUCGGGUUGUAAACCGCUUUCGCCUGUGACGAAGCGUGAGUGACGGUAAUGGGUAAAGAAGCACCGGCUAACUACGUG